GAUGAACGCUGGCGGCGUGCCUAAUACAUGCAAGUCGAGCGAACAGACGAGGAGCUUGCUCCUCUGACGUUAGCGGCGGACGGGUGAGUAACACGUGGAUAACCUACCUAUAAGACUGGGAUAACUUCGGGAAACCGGAGCUAAUACCGGAUAAUAUAUUGAACCGCAUGGUUCAAUAGUGAAAGACGGUUUUGCUGUCACUUAUAGAUGGAUCCGCGCCGCAUUAGCUAGUUGGUAAGGUAACGGCUUACCAAGGCAGCGAUGCGUAGCCGACCUGAGAGGGUGAUCAGCCACACUGGAACUGAGACACGGUCCAGACUCCUACGGGAGGCAGCAGUAGGGAAUCUUCCGCAAUGGGCGAAAGCCUGACGGAGCAACGCCGCGUGAGUGAUGAAGGUCUUCGGAUCGUAAAACUCUGUUAUUAGGGAAGAACAAAUGUGUAAGUAACUAUGCACGUCUUGACGGUACCUAAUCAGAAAGCCACGGCUAACUACGUG
rnacentral:rRNA from 1 species